rfam:Caldithrix abyssi DSM 13497 chromosome, whole genome shotgun sequence.
GGAGGAUUAGCCUAAUUGGUAAGGCAGCGGUCUUGAAAACCGCCGUCCGCAAGGACUUGGGGGUUCGAGUCCCUCAUCCUCCG